rnacentral:lncRNA from 1 species
UUUAUUUACUUCUAAGAGUGGAUCCAUAACCCUAACUAGUUCAAUUUCAUAGUUUCAUUUAAAUUAAGUUGUUUAUAUUUAAGUUUUAAUUUCAAUUUUUAGUUAAAAUAAAAUAAACAAAUUAAAUCUUUUCUUAAUAGAUCGACCUCGGACUCACCAAAUUAUAAUACAACAAGACACUCUUAUAUUUAGGAAUUAAAAAUUACUUUUAAGACGUGUCAUCCACACACCAUAUAAUAAAAGAAGCUCCUGAGUCCUGACUUCCACCGUUGUACAAGUCAGAGUUUUUAAAUGAGUAAAAUUACUAAAAUAAUAACAAUGACAACGAUGAAGGAUAACCGAGAGCGAGUGGUUAAAUUUCCACAUGGAAAAUUUUUGUACUUUAUUGUUUUCAAGUCUCAUUUUGCGGCUGGGCUUUUCAAAGAUCAUUUGUCAUAUCAUUCCUUUCGUCCAGGCGUAGGAAAAGUAGCUAAUAUGACUUUCUGUUUCAUGUUCCUUUUCUUUUAAUCUGACAAAUUUGGAAUACUUAAUUUUCUUAAUGCUAGUUUUCUGUGGAAGUUCCUGCGAUUUGCCGCGGGUGAAUCCUGAAUUUUCUUCAUACACGUUUUGAAGAAAUUCUUGCUAGUUGACAUGGGUGUUUACUCGCAAGCGUAUUUUGUCAGUGUGUUUCAUGUUCCUUUUCUUUUAAUCUGACAAAUUUGGAAUACUUAAUUUUCUUAAUGCUAGUUUUCUGUGGAAGUUCCUGCGAUUUUCCGCGGGUGAAUCCUGAAUUUUCUUCAUGCACGUUUUGAAGAAAUUCUUGCUAGUUGACAUGGGUGUUUACUCGCAAGCGUAUUUUGUCAGUCCCACCGCACUACAGAGCUUACCAGUCAUGAUUCAAACACAUGCCGUUCCAAAGUAGCAGCUACAACGUAAAGCUGCUGUCACACCGUGUACAUUUGCAAUGCACCGCCUACAUAAUUGGAUCGUAAAUCACACCACUGUCCCGAUUCAGUGUAAAUCGCUGCCGGUUGCUGGCGGCUUUACGAUGUGGCCGCGACCUUGGCUACCGAUUACGAUGUCCCCGUUGAUCUUUUGACUCCAAUGGUGUCACUGUUGGAUAGAUCCCGAAAGAUGGAGCCCAAUGGUGUCGACUGUGAUGUCAAUAGGUGACGGUCGAAAUUUCCAGCAUAACCGCCGAUGGUAAUAACACCGACAAGAAAAUUUUUCAGCAACGAAAACCAUUUCCUUUUUCUGAUAUUUAUUU